rnacentral:rRNA from 1 species
UCGAAGGCGAGUACCGACGGUCGCUCUCUAUACCUGGUGUGAAUGUAUAUGUGGCAUUAACUUGUCACAUAUCCUGGGAAGUUCGCGACUCAGGGGUCAGGGGACUCGACGACGGAAAUGGGAGACCAUUUGCGCCUGCGGGUUCUCUGGCAACAUUUCACCUAUUUCACUUUGAAAAAAUUGGAGUGUUCAAAGCAGGACUUAGGUCCACUGUACAUUUUAGCAUGGGAUGAUAGAAAAAGACAGCCGUUUUAUUUUGUUGGUUUUUAGAACGAUUGUAAUGAUUAAAGGGGACAGUUGGGGUUGUUUGUAUUGGAGCGUCAGCGGUGAAAUGCUAAGAUUGCUCUAAGACAAACUUCUGCGAAAGCAUUCAACUAGGAUGUUUUCGUCAAUCAAGAACGAAAGUUGGGGGAUCGAAGACGAUCAGAUACCGUCGUAGUCUCAACCAUAAACUAUGCCGCCUUAGGAUUGGGAAACGAUAAUUUCUAUGUCUCUCCCAGCACUAUUCGAGAAAUCAAAGGCUUUGGGUUCCGGGGGGAGUAUGGUCGCAAGGCUGAAACUUAAAGGAAUUGACGGAAGGGCACCACCAGGCGUGGAGCUUGCGCUUAAUUUGACCCAACACGGGAAAACUUACCAGGUCCGGACAGCUUUAGGAUUGACAGAUUGAGAGCUCUUUCAUGAUUAGUUGGGUGGUGGUGCAUGGCCGUUCUUAGUUGGUGGCGUGAGUUGUCUGGUUGAUUCCGUUAACGAACGAGACCUUCAUCUUUAAAUAGGCACUGUGAGAUAUUGCGUUAUGGCUGCGUGGGCCUAUUGGCAGAAGGGUUCGUCCCCUGCCGAUAGUCGCACCGCGUAGUUGCAAUCUCGCAGGAUGACCUUCUUAGAGAGACAAUAUGUGACAAGCAUAUGGAAGUCGGAGGCAAAAACAGGUCUGUGAUGCCCUUAGAUGUUCUGGGCUGCACGCGUGCUACACUGAUAGAAUCAACAAGUAUACAACCUUGUCCGAAAGGACCGGGUAAUCAUUUGAAAUUCUAUCGUGGCUGGGGAUAGACGAUUGCAAUUAUUUGUCUUGAACGAGGAAUGCCUAGUAGGGGCAAGUCAUCAGCUUGCCCCGAUUACGUCCCUGCCCUUUGUACACACCGCCCGUCGCUCCUACCGAUUGGAUUGCCCGGUGAAAUCUUCGGAUUGUGAGUUUGUUCAUGGCUAGUUCGCUAGUCGUGACUCUUGUGAAAAGUUGAUUAAA